rnacentral:rRNA from 1 species
CGUGUAGGCGGCUCGGUAAGUCUGGAGUGAAAGUCCUGCUUUUAAGGGUGGGGAAUUUGCUUUGGAUACUGUCGGGCUUGAGUGCAGGAGAGGUUAGUGGAAUUCCCAGUGUAGCGGUGAAAUGCGUAGAGAUUGGGAGGAACACCAGUGGCGAAGGCGACUAACUGGACUGUAACUGACGCUGAGGCGCGAAAGUGUGGGGAGCAAACA